rnacentral:lncRNA from 1 species
UUUUAUUUGAUUUUCGGAUCAACAAUGUUUGACAAAUUGAAUAUCUUUGAGAUUGAUUUUUUAAAAUUUAUUUAUGAAAUUUUAUUGGAAGUCUUUGGGGAUAGAUAUUGUGUAUUUUUGAUGUUGGAUCUGUUGAGGAUAUUAUAUAAAAUUUCUGAAAAUUCUGGACGAAAAUUAAAUUUUUAGGUUUUGGCUCUGGGACCGGUCCUAGACUUGGA